rnacentral:rRNA from 1 species
UACGUAGGGCGCAAGCGUUGUCCGGAAUUAUUGGGCGUAAAGAGCUCGUAGGCGGUUUGUCGCGUCUGCUGUGAAAACCUAAGGCUCAACCUUGGGCUUGCAGUGGGUACGGGCAGACUAGAGUGCGGUAGGGGUGACUGGAAUUCCUGGUGUAGCGGUGGAAUGCGCAGAUAUCAGGAGGAACACCCAGGGAGAAAUCAGCCGCCUGGGCAAGUGCUGACGCUGAGGUGCGAAAGCGUGGGGAGCGAACCGG